rnacentral:lncRNA from 1 species
GUUUUUUUCUCUUUCUUUCUGCUUGGCUUUUCUGGCGGCGCUGGCUCCUGGCAUUUGGGGUAACCCACGAGUGUUAGAGAUGACAAUAAAGAAGAGAUGGGAUGUAAAGGAUUACGGAAAAGCUCAGGAGGAUGCUCACCCCAACCCUGCGUAUUCGUUACCCGCACUCAGGACAGGAGUCCUGGCCACCGCUUGGAUCUGGUUCUUGGGCUAAGGAGCUUCUGCUCUGAGCUGGCAGCAGACACCCAAUAAGGUCUCAGUGACAGGGCCCUGCUAAGGGAUAAGGAAGAUACGUGAGGACCCAGGGAAGAGCAGCCUGCUGGUAAGUCCCGGCAUCAUUCUCUGUGUAGUGCUCCAUUCCUCCCUCUCUCACUGAGUUGAGUUCCUGCCCCCAGGACCCUCUCUCUGCCCAGCGUGUCCUCUUCCAUAGCUGUGCGCAUGGCUGGCUCUUUUCACCCCCUGAUCUUUCCCCCGUCCCUUCAUCUAAACCAGCUCCCAUUUGACAUCUUUCUUCCAGAGCACUGAUCACAAUUUGUAACUGAUUCUUAUUCAUGCUGUCUCUCUACCAGACUACAAGUUCCUCAAGGGCAAGGACCACGUCUGAUGAAUGUCCCACUGCAGCCCAUCCCACAGCACAGCUGUAUCGUGAUAAAAGCAGAACGAGAGAAUAAAUGAAGGAAUGCAAGGCAGACCCCAAGGAAAGCCAAUGGAGAGGUAAAACCAAGCAGCCCCUGGAGGCCUGAGGAGAGGGUGCUAUCUCCAUCUGGGGGAUCUAGGAUGACUUCCUGGAGGAGGUGGCAUUGGAACUUUGGGGAUUCUCUGGCUGUGAAUUCAGAGGGUUCUCCUGCCUCAUUUAGACAUUCAAAGACGACUUACUAAUUAACAACUGGAGAAAGAAUUCUGCAUGCAGACUGUUUGUACCUUAGCCGAGUGUCCCCAAACUUGGGAAACACAGUAGCACUUUAUGUAGGUUUCCAGUUGAGCCUGGAAUCAGCGUGAAUUGUUGGGAGGGGUUUGGGGAGUAGGGUAGACAGGCACAGGCUCUGCAGAGCCUGGCACCACACCCCUCUCUCUUCCCUUCAGAGCACAUCUUUCCAGAGACCAUCACAUUUGAUCUUGCCGAUUAUUUGGUCAACCUCUUUUCUCUGGGCAGCGCUGAUGGGGAACAACAUAUGCUUGGCCUUCUGCCUUCCUCUCCUAUACACACCCCUACACACACCCACAUCACACCCAUUUAUCUCCAUGACAACAAGGGGAGAGAGCGUGGCCUGAUGCUUCCAGGCCUCAAUACGCGGACUUAGAGCCUAGAGACUUAGCAGUUCUGGCCCUGCAGCCUCACAAAGAAGGACUAGAGUGAUUGCAGAGGCCAGGCAUGGAGAAGGGAGGGCUUUGGGGUUGCUUGUGCCCUCAGAGAGGAGGGGUCAUUGCCCUGGGAGCCCUACUGCUGGCCGUUUCCUGAUGAAGAGGUUGGUCAUUUUGCCCCCAAACACCCUCAUCCCUUGUCAGGGAUAAGCAGCGUUUGGGGGAAGGAGGGCCGGCUUUGUAUCCAAUCCCAGCUCUACCAUUUCCCUCUUCUUGUGAGUUCUCUGAACCUCUGGAUCUGCAUCUAUAAAAGGACAACUCCUUGAAAGGACUUCUGUGACUUCUAGAAAUUGGCAUUAAAAAAAAAAAUCUAUCAACGCCUCUGUUUUAGAAACUAACCAAAUGAGAUUGGUCAAAAUCAGAGAUAGGGUGUGAGGGGUGGAGAACGUGCAAACCGGCAAAAUAGGGAAACAACUAGUCAGUCUAAUUAAGAAAAAGAGUAGAGACAAAACAAUACCAAAAUUAGGAGUGGGAAAGGGAAUAUGGCCAUUGGUAUUACACAGAGGAUGUUAUAAAACUAAUAUGAGGAUAUAUGAACCAACUCUGUAAAAUAUGUUGAAGACAAGAUCAAAUGCAUAUUUUUCUAUGAAAACAUAUACUUAACUUUAAAAAUGGCAGUUUCAGACUUCCAUCCACCGUUAAGGAUACGGUGUUGCUGUGAGUUGAGGUAUAGGUUGCAUAUUCGGCUAGGAUCUGGUAUCGCUGAGGCUGUGGCAUAGGCCAGCAGCUGCAGCUCUGAUUAUACCCCUAGCCU